rnacentral:misc_RNA from 1 species
GUAACAAGGUUUCCGUAGGUGAACCUGCGGAAGGAUCAUUACUGAGUGAGGGUCCCUCGGGGCCCAACCUCCCACCCGUGUAUACCGUACCUUGUUGCUUCGGCGAGCCCGCCCCCCUUCCUUAGGGGUGGCACAGCGCUCGCCGGAGACACCAACGUGAACACUGUCUGAAGUUUUGUCGUCUGAGUCGAUUGUAUCGCAAUCAGUUAAAACUUUCAACAAUGGAUCUCUUGGUUCCGGCAUCGAUGAAGAACGCAGCGAAAUGCGAUAAUUAAUGUGAAUUGCAGAAUUCAGUGAAUCAUCGAGUCUUUGAACGCACAUUGCACCCCCUGGUAUUCCGGGGGGUAUGCCUGUCCGAGCGUCAUUGCUGCCCUCAAGCACGGCUUGUGUGUUGGGUCGUCGUCCCCCCCGGGGGACGGGCCCGAAAGGCAGCGGCGGCACCGCGUCCGGUCCUCGAGCGUAUGGGGCUUUGUCACCCGCUCUUGUAGGCCCGGCCGGCUGCUGGCCGACGCUGAAAAGCAACCAAUCUAUUUCAUCAGGUUGACCUCGGAUCAGGUAGGGAUACCCGCUGAACUUAAGCAUAUC